rnacentral:rRNA from 1 species
AUUGAACGCUGGCGGCAUGCCUUACACAUGCAAGUCGAACGGUGACGCGGGGCAACCUGGCGACGAGUGGCGAACGGGUGAGUAAUGUAUCGGAACGUGCCCAGUUGUGGGGGAUAACUGCUCGAAAGAGCAGCUAAUACCGCAUACGACCUGAGGGUGAAAGCGGGGGAUCGCAAGACCUCGCGCAGUUGGAGCGGCCGAUAUCAGAUUAGGUAGUUGGUGGGGUAAAGGCUCACCAAGCCAACGAUCUGUAGCUGGUCUGAGAGGACGACCAGCCACACUGGGACUGAGACACGCCCAGACUCCUACGGGAGGCAGCAGUGGGGAAUUUUGGACAAUGGGCGCAAGCCUGAUCCAGCCAUGCCGCGUGCGGGAAGAAGGCCUUCGGGUUGUAAACCGCUUUUGUCAGGGAAGAAAAGACUCCUGUUAAUACCGGGGGUUCAUGACGGUACCUGAAGAAUAAGCACCGGCUAACUACGUGCCAGCCGCCGCCGUAA